UCAUGAAUCUCACUAAGGCUCAGUUUCCUCCAUAGAAUUAAGCAAUAUCAGGGCCUCUGCACUGGACAACUCCAGAGGGCACCAUUGGGGUUAUGUUUUAUGUUUGCCUAACCUUCAUUGCAGUGGGUAGGUGCUUGCUUUCUACAAUGUCUGGAGGUCUAAAGGGGUAGAGUUCUGUGUGUGGCAUUUUAGGCCUGGAAAGGAUGAGAGUCUACAAAACCAGAGAAAUACUGCAGCCAUUGGUAAGAAGCACACAUGACAACCUGGACUUUCCACCAACAUUUGAAGUUGGAGCAGUCUUGUGGGAUUGAGCCCUUAACCUGUGGGGUCUGCUGCUAACUCUGAACCCUAUGAACACAUGGACCCAACACUCCUUUGGCCAAGUUGAUGAUUCUCCACCAUUUAUUUGCCUGCCUCACUCUACACUUCUAGCAAGCCACUGCAAGGCUGCAUUGCAGCUAAGAGGAAGCCCUCCUUGAAGGCUGCACAGCAAGGAGUGUUGGCAGAGUAGCUGGGUUUCCACUGGAAGAGCACGAGUCAGCACCAUACUGGGCUCAAGCAUGGAUAUGCACUGCUGCUGCCAGAGCAUCAUAAUUGGCAAGCAUUUAUCGAGUACCCUUCAUCUAAUUUUCAUCCUGUGGAAACUAGAAAUUGCUACACUUGCACACAAUAAACUUCUGGCAGUUAGCCUUCUGAA